rnacentral:lncRNA from 1 species
GGGCACAUGAACGGCCCCCACCCCAUCCACAUAGGAUGCACCCAAACUAUGGCCAUGGGCAUCAUAUUCAUGUGCCUCAAACCAUGUCUUCACAUCCUCGCCAGGCUCCGGAGAGAACUGCCUGGGAACUGGGGAUUGAAGCUGGAGUGACUGCAGCUACCUACACACCUGGUGCACUGCACCCUCACCUGGCCCAUUACCACGCCCCGCCUCGACUUCAUCACCUACAGUUAGGAGCACUUCCCUUAAUGGUCCCUGACAUGGCAGGCUAUCCUCACAUCCGUUACAUUUCUUCAGGAUUGGACGGAACAUCAUUCAGAGGUCCUUUCAGGGGCAAUUUUGAGGAAUUGAUUCAUCUGGAAGAAAGAUUAGGAAAUGUCAAUCGUGGAGCCUCCCAGGGAACAAUUGAAAGAUGCACAUACCCACAUAAAUACAAAAAGAGGAAACUGCACUGCAAACAAGAUGGGGAAGAAGGGACUGAGGAAGACACAGAGGAAAAAUGUACUAUCUGUUUGUCUAUUUUAGAGGAAGGUGAAGAUGUGAGACGGCUUCCGUGUAUGCACCUUUUUCACCAAGUGUGUGUUGAUCAGUGGCUGAUCACCAAUAAGAAGUGCCCCAUAUGCAGAGUGGACAUCGAGGCCCAGCUGCCAAGCGAAAGUUGACAUUGUGUUUCAGAACUCUUGCUGUCCCUCUCAUUCCCAUCCUUCCUGGUACUGCAGUCAACCAAAGAUGGCAUGACUUACCUGCGCAGGUCUGGAAGCCUUGAUCUUGAAGUGCUGACUCUGCUACAUGGUACAGCUACCGCUAGACCUACAACUUAUGUACACAGUUGAUUUCGAUGUAUUUAUAAAAGCUUUUGUGUUUUUUUCUAGAUUUGACAUUACUUCCUGUAUCAUUUUACUGUAUUUUUGCAUGAUUCCUUGUAUUGCAUUUCUUUGCACAUAUUAUGGGCUUGUGACCCUAAACUUGCAGGCAAGAUUAGCUGCUUUAGUAAGUAGUAUUUUGUGGUCUUUUUGGUUUUGUUUUGUUUUGUUUUUUGUUUUUUGUUUUUUUUUUUUUUACAUAGUACCUUGAAAAUUAUGAAUUUGUUUUUAUCCAUUACUAACCUUUAAUUUAAUCAAUCAUGUACUUUAGUUUAAUGUAUAAAGAUCCUCUAGGAAAUGAUAAUAUUGUGUAUUAAGACAUUCCUUCAUUAAAUUAGGACAAAAUGGCUGCUGUAUAUUUACAAUAUGGAGUUCUGAGUUAAGUACCACCCUUAAUACUGGGAACAGAAUGUAACCCGUGUCAAUCAGAUGCAGGUGGUACUCACGACCAGAGUGAUCAAUAGGAAUCUUCUUGGUGUAUCCUUUCUUCCAGCACAGUGCAAGAUAGAGUUGCUGUUGAUGCCGUAUGUUUAGACUGCUGUUCUGACCCUAUUUAUCUCUGCCAUUUGGAACUUUAUCCCUAACCCAGGUUUUGCUGCUGUGAAACAGCGUUGAUGAACACUAAAUAUUAAUUUGAGAUAGCUGGAUUGUAUAUACUUGCAGAUUUAAAAAAAUAGGGAAAUUGAAAAAGACAUGUAGAAUUUUGUUAGGUCUUCUGCUAAGCACGAAUAAGAUAUCUGCUUACAUUAAUUUUAUAAAGUCAUUCAGUCAGAAUUUAGGAUUCAGUCAUUGGCAGGUAUCUAUGCAUUCGUAGAACUUCUAAGGGUCCCAGGAUCACUUUUAAGGGAUUUUUUUUUAUAGUUUAAAUAAAGUCAGCUGAAUCUACAUGUCUCUUGUUUUAUUUCUCUCUAAACUUGAAAACAAUAAAUCUGCAGAUACUGUGAGGCACAGAUUAUAUUGUCAAGCUACUGUUGCUAUGGUUAUAGACACCCACUUCAGACAUUACCAAGAGUCGAUCACUGACUUAAAAAUUUUAAUUUCUAUAGUUAAGAUUUACAACAUAAUAUAGAGUAAAAGUUAACAUACUAACAUUUCUCCUUUGGAGGAAGUUUUAAUCCACUUCAGGAUGCAUAUUAUCAAGAUACUUUCAUAUACAGGAUAGUCUAAUUUUAUUUGUUUAAAUAUGCUUAAUAUGCCCAAGAUUGCAAAUGCAUCCAGUCAGUAAUACCACUGUCUGUAUGUGGAAGACAUGUUCCCAUGGAUCAUAUGUGAAGAUGUCAAUAAGCUUGCAUUAAGCCACCUGCUUUGUAAGUGGAUUGAUUAAUAAAUAACUUAUAUUUCUAUUG